rnacentral:lncRNA from 1 species
GAGUCAUAUUCAGAAAAGUAUUUAGUCACAUGGGGCUCCGGUGAUUUCUCUGUUUAUGAGCUCAUUCCUUCCUCAUUUCUGAGAACUUUGGUGUUAACAGCCCGUUUCCUUUUUGUAGGGGCUGACUUGGACUUCGCAGAUGCCUUUCAUGGUGGAGGAAAUCACAGUCACAAUUGCAACUUUCAUUGUCACGAAGAGAUGACCCAGCACCUCCUAAUUCACCCAAGCCGAAGCCAAAUGCAAACCCUAAGCAACCUGGAUUCAUUGGCGCUCAUAAUCGCAACUCGCAUCUUACAAACAGAUGAGCCAGCACCACCUGACACACCCAAACCAAAGCCAAGUCCAAACCCCAAGCAGCCUGAUUCCACUGUCAUUUGACACUCCUCUCUGUGUCAGUGUCUGAGGCACCCUGGGACCGUCCUGACUGGAAAGCACAGUGACAUUGCUGGCCUGAGCUGAAGUGCUGAUUAAAAUAAAUUGAAAGCUGAAUGACCUUAUGAAGAGCUGCUUUACCCAGGAACAAAUAUGGAGAGGAACUCCUUGCAACUGUGUUCUCAAGUAGACCACUUUUGAGAAAUUAUACAUUUAUCAUAACACCUCAAGUCCUGCUCUGCAUAGAAUGACCAUUAUUAUCAAGAAAAGUUCUCCAUUCCCUGUGAUUCAUAAGGAAAUGCAGGCCUAACCAGAAAACAGGAGCUGCGACAACCUUGGGUCAGACACAUUCAGUCUCUCUAUUCACAGUUGCAUUUUCUCUCUCUCUCUCUCUCUCUCUCUUUUUUUUUUUUUAACAAAGCCAAAUUACCAGUAACUGGGAAAAACAAAAACAAAAAAAAAAUGAACAUACGGCUUGAG